AUGUUUCUCAGGGCUUUUUUUGAUUGCGGUUUCCUGAGCUGCUGAGGAGUGAAGAAACUCAGCCCGGCGCCUGGACUGAAGGAAUGGAGAAGGGAGGGUCAACACGGAAAGAAGAAAGAAGGCCUGGAGAAGUUCAAGUGCAAAGGCAGGAUGGACAGUCAUCACCCCAAGUCGACCAGGCCUGGAAUGCCAGGGGGUAAGAGAGUGCCUGCAUCCCACCUGUGGCAAAGCUGACUUGCCUUCAACACUUGGGAAUCAUGGCUGCAUCCCUGACAGCCGAGGCUGCAGUGAAGGCCAGGACUGGCAUGACAUGAAGAAUUACUGAAAGGACCUGGGAGCCAAGAGAAGUCCUCCAGACAGAAAUCAACUGAAAAGCCAUGGACAGGACAUUCUGCCAAAGCAGGGAUUCCGACCCCCAGCCAUUCAACAGAGAAUGCCGUGUGCCUUUGCUCAUGAGCCUAACUUAGAGGAUACAGGAUUGACUGCAGUGAGCUGUAAGUGGGUGUGUCCUUCCCCUGGCAACACACCGACAGACGGGGUGACAAAGUCCGAAGGUUCAACCUCAGUUUUCCAUCCUGGCGAGGCUAACAGUUCUCGCCUCUUUCCCACUUCACAUAAAAUUAUGAAGUUUAGUGAUAGGAUGUCAUCGCAUGCACUUUGAGCUUCUUGGAAAAGCAAUUCUGUGUAAACCCACAGGAGAAGUCAUAGAAAAGCAGUGUCAAUGUGGUAUGAAUGCAACAUAAAAUGGACCAAAUUAACUCCUUAGAGAUUGGGGCAAAAAUAGCUCCUCAUCUUACAUAUCUAUUUUUCCUGUCAUGUUGCAUAUGCCUGUUCCUUGGCUUUCAAGAGCAAUCUGAAAGGGCAAUGUGUCUGAUAAAAUGUUGAUUGGAGUAAGAGUUUAGCAAUCUUCUUUUAGAGGCAGUACUGCAAUAGCCAAGAUCUUGCCUGUUUCCAGCUUUUGGAAAAGCCACAAGUCAAAAUUUUGUUGCCAUAGACUUAAUAAGAAACAACCGAACAACCCAAUCCAAAGAUGGGCAAAAGACCUAAACAAGCAAUUCUCCAAGGAAGACAUACAAAUGAUCAAUAGGCACAUGAAAAAAUGCUCAAUAUCACUAAUUAUCAGAGAAAUGCAAAUCAAAACUACAAUCAGGUAUCACCUCACACCAGUCAGAAUGGCCAUCAUUCAAAAAUCCACAAAUGACAAAUGCUGGAGAGGCUAUGGAGAAAGGGGAACCCUCCUACACUGCUGGUGGGAAUGCAGUUUGGUGCAGCCACUAUGGAAAACAGUGUGGAGAUUCCUCAAAAGAUUAGGAAUAGACUUACCGUAUGACCCAGGAAUUCUGCUCCUGGGCUUAUAUCCAGAAAGAGCCCUACUUCAGGAUGACACCUGCACCCCAAUGUUCAUAGCAGCACUAUCUACAAUAGCCAAGACAUGGAAACAGCCUAAAUGUCCAUCAACGGAUGACUGGAAAAAGAAGAAGUGGUGUAUUUAUACAAUGGAGUACUAUUCAGCCAUAAAAACCGACAUUACGCCAUUUGCAGCAACAUGGAUGCUCCUGAAGAAUGUCAUUCUAAGUGAAGUAAGCCAGAAAGAGAAAGAAAAAUACCAUAUGAGAUCGCUCAUAUGUGGAAUCUAAAAAACAAAAACAAAAAAAAACAAAGCAUAAAUACAAAACAGAAAUAGACUCAUAGACAUAGAAUACAAACUUGUGGUUGUCAAGGGGGCAGAGGGUGGGAAGGGAUAGACAGGAUUUCAAAAUUGUAGAAUACAUAAACAAGAUUAUACUGUAUAGCACAGGGAAAUAUACACAAGAUCUUGUGGUAGCUCACAGAGAAAAAAAUGUGACAAUGAAUAUAUGUAUGUUCAUGUAUAACUGAAAAAUUGUGCUCUACACUGGAAUUUGACACAACAUUGUAAAAUGAUUAUAAAUCAAUAAAAAAUGUUAAAAAAAUUUUUGUUGCCAUGUGAGAGUGUUGCAUGGAUGGAAUUUAACUCUGAAUUUCCAUAUACUAAAGGCCAUUCUAACUGCCCUUUGUGGAUACAAAUUAAUCAAUAGCCAAUCUAAAAAGGAAAUGGGAAAUUUUAUUCAAGCCAACCUGAGGAUAUAACCUGAGAGGCAGUCUCUUAGAGAGCUCAAAGAGAUAAAGGGAGGCCAUAUACAUGAUUUUGAAGAAGGGGGUACAUGCAAACAAGCACACAUCUUGGGAGGAGGUUAUUGCUGUUUGUAAGGAACAGGUAUCUCAGUUAAUGGUUUCAGUCCUUUUCUAAGUGUGGAAAAAUGUAAGAAACAGGAUUCAUAAAAUUUUCUUCUGAAAACAUCUCACCACCUGAGGACCGGUUCUGACAGUUUUCCCAGAGCACAGAAUGCCUCAUCCUGAUCUUCGCCCUGAAUUCCUUUCAGGGUGUGCUGUGUAGGGUCAGCGACUGCAGGGGCUGAAGACUAGAUUCCUGGAAAAAUAGAGGGUGGGCAGCAUUCUUUGUUUGACAAUCUCUCCCUUUUGGUCUUAAUUUCUACUAAGAUUUGGGAGGCAUUUCGUGAUCUCUCUGUCCCACGGUGCUAGGAACGCUCAUUCCCAGGUCAGGGGAGGACUUGGUUGACAGGCCACUCCAUGUGCUGUUACUGGACUAGGCUCUGGUAACAGUAGCCAAAAGCCUCUGGACUGCCUGUCUGACUAGCCUGCUAUGGUCCAGGAAAUGGUUCUGUCUUGUUGCUUCUUCCCAUAUGUAGAGCUACACUAUUACAAUCAUUUGUCUUAUCCAAGUAUAUAUUUGAUCAAUUUUUUCAAGUCACCCAGUCAUCAUUCAUUUUAUCAGGGUCUUAGUCACACACUUGGUAAUGCAGAAAACAAAUCUUAUAAAAUAGACAGAAUACAAAAAAUAUAUCUAGUAGCAUCAAUCAGGUCCGAAGUAAACAUUUAAGUGGAGAGCUUCCAUUAGGUGUGGCCCAGUAUCUCCCCAGGUCGUCUGACCAGUCUGUUCUGCAUUAAUCACUAUCUCCAAGGGAAAUGAUAUACUGGCCUGUACAUAAAGCUCACUGAAGAUGUCUGCAGGUACAAGGUGAGUGGUGGGUCACAUCAUCAGUGACCCCUUAAGGAUUGAGAAAGGAAUGUUAUCUCCUAAGGAGUUAAUGGCUGGCAUCAGAAAACAAUUGAUUUUUAUGGUUGAGCAGGUAUUUCUGCCACUGGGGGGGUCUGGUUCACGCACAGAGCAGAUGCACAGUGCACAGCAGAGGGGAGGGAGGAGGGGAAAGGACAGAGAAAAAAUUUCACGUCUAAAUUUUUCUUGCCUUGCCUCAAAAUGCGAACUUUAUGCUAUCCCCCUUAUGAAAGAUCCAAGAGCCUUUUAUAAUGAUUUGAAAAUAGUAAAAUCAUUCUCUUUUUCCACAGUUACCAAAGUAUCACUUCUGCUGCCCAAACUGAAGUGGGCCAUCACCUCAGAGUAGGAAGUGGAGGAAGCCAGUAUGAGAGCCAAGCAGUUUUAAAAGGCAUGAAGGAUGUGAAAGCACUUAACACUACUGAACUGGGCAUUUUAAAAAAUGGUCACAGUGGUAAAUUUUAUAUAACACAUAUUUUACCACAGCUAAAAAAUAUCUAAAGAUUAAGAUGGGAAAUUUUAUGUUGUACAUAUUU